GAUAUAUAAUUUUGUAGGAUACCCCAAAGAAUCUAAGAAAUAUAACUUCUAUCUUAUUAAAGAACAAAAGUUGUUUGGCAUUCCUUUUAGAUAAAGAAGUACCUUGAUGAAGGAAUUGAUGCCUUUAAUGUGGAACUAGUAAAGUUCAACAAGUAGAAGAAUUGACACAAUCUAGUGAACCCAUAGAAUCAGAUUUGAUUAGAUCAAAUCCAAAAUCUAUUGUAGAGAGACCAUUAAGG
rnacentral:lncRNA from 1 species